GAUGAACGCUGGCGGCGUGCCUAGUACAUGCAAGUCGAGCGAACAGACGAGGAGCUUGCUCCUCUGACGUUAGCGGCGGACGGGUGAGUAACACGUGGAUAACCUACCUAUAAGACUGGGAUAACUUCGGGAAGCCGGAGCUAAUACCGGAUAAUAUAUUGAACCGCAUGGUUCAAUAGUGAAAGACGGUUUUGCUGUCACUUAUAGAUGGAUCCGCGCCGCAUUAGCUAGUUGGUAAGGUAACGGCUUACCAAGGCGACGAUGCGUAGCCGACCUGAGAGGGUGAUCGGCCACACUGGAACUGAGACACGGUCCAGACUCCUACGGGAGGCAGCAGUAGGGAAUCUUCCGCAAUGGGCGAAAGCCUGACGGAGCAACGCCGCGUGAGUGAUGAAGGUCUUCGGAUCGUAAAACUCUGUUAUUAGGGAAGAACAAAUGUGUAAGUAACUAUGCACGUCUUGACGGUACCUAAUCAGAAAGCCACGGCUAACUACGUG
rnacentral:rRNA from 1 species